UACGUAGGGAGCAAGCGUUGUCCGGAAUCAUUGGGCGUAAAGCGCGCGUAGGUGGCUUCGUAAGUCCGUUGUGAAAGUCAAAGGCUCAACCUUUGAAAGCCGAUGGAUACUGCGGAGCUAGAGUACGGAAGAGGCGAGUGGAAUUCCUGGUGUAGCGGUGGAAUGCGCAGAUAUCAGGAGGAACACCAAUAGCGAAGGCAGCUCGCUGGGACGUUACUGACGCUGAGGAGCGAAAGCAUGGGGAGCGAACAGG
rnacentral:rRNA from 1 species